AUCUAGCUGAUGAGUCCCGAAUAGGAUGAAACACGUGUCCUGGAU
rnacentral:hammerhead_ribozyme from 1 species